rnacentral:rRNA from 1 species
UACGGGGGGGGCGAGCGUUGUCCGGAUUUACUGGGCGUAAAGCGCGUGUAGGCGGCGACUUAAGUCCGGGGUGAAAGGCGGGGGCUCAACCCCCGAGCGGCAACGGAAACUGGGUCGCUUGAGUGUCGGAGAGGGGAGUGGAAUUCUCGGUGUAGCGGUGAAAUGCGUAGAGAUCGAGAGGAACACCCGUGGCGAAGGCGGCUCCCUGGCCGAACACUGACGCUGAGACGCGAAAGCGCGGGGAGCGAACGGG